rnacentral:rRNA from 1 species
UACGGAGGGGGCUAGCGUUGUUCGGAAUUACUGGGCGUAAAGCGCACGUAGGCGGCUUUGUAAGUUAGAGGUGAAAGCCCAGGGCUCAACCCUGGAAUUGCCUUUAAGACUGCAUCGCUUGAACAUCGGAGAGGUAAGUGGAAUUCCGAGUGUAGAGGUGAAAUUCGUAGAUAUUCGGAAGAACACCAGUGGCGAAGGCGACUUACUGGACGAUUGUUGACGUUGAGGUGCGAAAGCGUGGGGAGCAAACAGG